GGCCGGCUAGCGUAAUGGUUAACGCGCCAGUUUCCGGUUACUUGAGUAAUCUAGCUGGAGAUUCUGGGUUCGACUCCCAGGUUGGUCG